ACCUGAGUGGCUCAGCGGUUGAGCAUCUGACUUUGGCUCAGGAUGUGAUACCAGGUCUGGGGAUCAAGUCCCACAUCAGGCU
rnacentral:tRNA from 1 species